rnacentral:rRNA from 1 species
ACGGAGGAUGCAAGCGUUAUCCGGAUUCAUUGGGUUUAAAGGGUGCGUAGGCGGUUAUUUAAGUCAGUGGUGAAAUCCUGUCGCUCAACGAUAGAACUGCCAUUGAUACUGAAUAACUUGAGUACAGUUGAGGUAAGCGGAAUGUGUAGUGUAGCGGUGAAAUGCUUAGAUAUUACACAGAACACCGAUUGCGAAGGCAGCUUACUAAACUGCAACUGACGCUGAUGCACGAAAGCGUGGGGAUCGAACAG